UCAAGACAGGGGUGAAUUUCUGCGCACAAGGACAAAUCUGGAUGGUUUUGUGUAAACUCAAUAGCGAGUCAGCGCAAAUGACACGAAAUCUUUAGGAUCCAUUUUUCAUAGUAAUUAGCACUCGCAAUAUGGUUUUAACUACUCGUUAAUACGGUUGUGUUCUUGCUACCGCAGGCCUUACUGUGAGGGUAACUAGUUGAUGCGGCCGCAACACACUGUGCACUUCAACCAACAAAUAUCCCUGUUUUGUUUAAUAUGCCGCCUUCUUUACUAAGGGUGACUGACGUGUCUUCUCCGGCAAAACUGAGAAAAUGCAGCCGCAAUUACCCAAAUAAUGAGGUUUUACCUCCCAAAAUUACGACAUAUUUACGAGGAAGGCCGCAUUCCGGGACUCCGGAAUCAUUCUGACUCUCUGAGAUUCUUUACCAUGCACUCAGCGCUCGGUAGGCGAGCGUUUCUGCAUUCCGCCCGUACAGGAACAUGGCCACCACUGCCGGGAUCGAGCCCACUACCUCCUGCUCAUCUGCGCAGCGCCACAUACACUCAGCUACCACGGAGGGCGAAUGGCAGGAUGACAGAUGUUAAGCGCUUUUCCGAAGGUGGUAGCCAUCUACACAUCGACAAAUGAUUCUUCCUUCAAGUGUCUGACUGGCAUACGUACAAGCUUCAACUUGGAAGCCAAGACGGCUAGUUACGUGUGGCCACUCAGAGGUCAUGGUGGUACAGAGAGGAGGACUGUUGUUUUCAACAUUACCGCAGGAAACGUUACUGAUCAGAC